rnacentral:tRNA from 1 species
GGACAAGUUGCCUAUAGGAAAGGGUGAGCUGAUUGCUAUUCGGUGUGCAAGCUUAUUGCACUGCAGGUUCGACUCCUGUCUUGUCUA